CCUACGGGCGGCUGCAGUGAGGAAUAUUGGUCAAUGGACGAGAGUCUGAACCAGCCAAGUAGCGUGAAGGAUGACUGCCCUAUGGGUUGUAAACUUCCUUUAUAAAGGAAUAAAACGAGGCACGUGUGCCUUUUUGCAUGUACUUUAUGAAUAAGGAUCGGCUAACUCCGUGCCAGCAGCCGCGGUAAUACGGAGGAUCCGAGCGUUAUCCGGAUUUAUUGGGUUUAAAGGGAGCGUAGAUGGGUUGUUAAGUCAGUUGUGAAAGUUUGCGGCUCAACCGUAAAAUUGCAAUUGAUACUGGCAGUCGUGAGUACAGUUGAGGUAGGCGGAAUUCGUGGUGUAGCGGUGAAAUGCUUAGAUAUCACGAAGAACCCCGAUUGCGAAGGCAGCUUACUAAACUGUGACUGACAUUGAUGCUCGAAAGUGUGGGUAUCAAACAGGAUUAGAUACCCUAGUAGUC
rnacentral:rRNA from 1 species